GUACAGCCUGCAAAACCAUAAUUUUGGUUUUAAAUUCCUUUAUAUAGGGAUGAUGUGUUUUUCUUUUAUAUUUGUUGUUUUAGAAAAGCUAAUAACUACUCAUAUUAUUAUGACUGUUGAUUACAUUUAGUAAAAAUCCUAUUCGGCAAUUUAAAUCUCAGUGAGUGUGAUACUUCACUACACAUGCGCUCAGAUUUUUCGAAGUUCCCAUCUCAGGUAUGAAUUCGAUUGGAUCGGACUACCAAAAAAUAUUUUACUUGCAGUUCCCAUUGUUGCAGGUAUUGAUUCAUCCCGGUUCUUCCUAGAUUUAUCCAUUAGGUAAUCAUUGCUUUUCUUAUUAAUGCAUCUGCUCAUAGCCAGAUUCUUUAAUAGCCAAAAUAGUGCUCCUUAAGUUAUUUUUUAUUUCAGGCAAUAAGAGCAUACCUCACGUGUUGCAGUGUUCAGACCAGAAUUAUGCAUGAUUUUGGGUUUAUCUAGUGUAAAUUUUCAGUUCUACGAUGUAUAUUCUUGGAUGCUUGGAUUUAGUAUUAGAACUGGAGAUUCUACAUAAAUACAAAUGAUGUGUGAAUUUUUCUGUUGAAACUGGU
rnacentral:lncRNA from 1 species